UCAUAUGCUUAUCUCAAAGAUUGCACUACGUUUGUACAACUAGAAGUUGAAUAACUGCUAAACUAUGAAUUGCUAAUUACUUGAAACAGUCGCUGUUCCAUGAGGAUGAAAUUCUUGUGCUUGACUUAUAAACCCUGAGGCUAAUGCUUGCAUUGCUGCUUCAACUUCAGUCGCGAUGCAGUUGCUACAGCAAAGCUGAAAUGACCUUUUCUAUAGACAUUGUAGUUGAUGAACCUGAUUAACUUUGCAGAUCGCAUGCUCAAGUACCGCUGAUAUCUUUUAUAAAUGCCUGCUUUAUCAGGGGGUCGGUUUGUAUGAUAUGCAUCAGUCAAGGUGAUAACGUAAAACAGAGCGAAAUGGUUCUACUCAAGCGAAAGGGCCUGAGAAACGGCUACCACUUCAAGGAAAGCAGCAGGCCCGCAUUUCUAAAUUUCAGAAUGAAGAGACAGAGAUGAAAAAUAAUUAGGGGCUAAUGUUUGAUACCCGUCAUCGGAAUGAUCCUGGUUACGAUGAACAUCAGUUAUUCGAUCAAGCAGCGGCUGCAUGGCAAUUCAGGAGAAGGUAUUACAAAGCAAAGAUGCAGCAUAUA
rnacentral:ncRNA from 1 species